UACGGAGGGUGCGAGCGUUAAUCGGAAUUACUGGGCGUAAAGGGUGCGUAGGUGGUUUGAUAAGUUAUCUGUGAAAUUCCUGGGCUUAACCUGGGCCGGUCAGAUAAGACUGUUAAACUCGAGUAUGGGAGAGGGUAGUGGAAUUUCCGGUGUAGCGGUGAAAUGCGUAGAGAUCGGAAGGAACACCAGUGGCGAAGGCGGCUACCUGCCGUAAUACUGACACUGAGGCACGAAAGCGUGAGGAGCAAACAGG
rnacentral:rRNA from 1 species